AAGUCGUAACAAGGUUUCCGUAGGUGAACCUGCGGAAGGAUCAUUCACAUAACGAGCACUGUUUGGAAAACAGUAACUCACCUUAUCACUUGUGAACAAUUUUGAUUUGGAAUCUGGAUUUAAGUUGGUGAAUGAUAUUAGAAUGAAAACUUUCAACAACGGAUCUCUAGGCUCUC
rnacentral:misc_RNA from 1 species